ACUAAAUACUCCACCUGGGCAUCGUCUUCAACAAGGAGCUCCCCAGCAAGGGUGCCAUGGCCGUCGGAGCUAGGAUCGCUCGCGACGCCAAAAGGUGACGGGGAAGUCCUCGCCAUGAGCGCCGGCAGUAGCUUGGAGGACGCGGGGUUUGCCACCUAUGAAGGCGGCGCCACCGGCACCGGCGUCGUGGGGGCUGCGCGUGGUUGGCGUCUGCAUGUAUCACUUGAAGCUCCAGCACUUGGACAACCUUCACGGCUGGCGCUCAUCCCAACUCAGCUUACACGACUUCCUCCUCCAGUUUUGCAUUUUUUUAGAGAGAGAAGUGAGGUUCAAAGGUGGGUAUGGAGACGUGGGGAGAAUGAGAGUGAUGGGCUCAUUGAAGGUGAUUGCAUGCAUGAGACUAAAAAAUAGGUUUGCAUGGGAAUGGUUUGGCUAGAUGGGUAGUGAGAAUGGCGGGUUCUAUUGGGUUUAGAAAGAAUGAAGUGAUAAGGGUGAUGGUGAAGGAAGCUACUAGCAGUGGGCACGAAGAGAGAAAUGGGUUUGAAUGGUUGAAAAAAUAUGCAGCAAAUAGGUUGGAUGGAAGCUAGGAUGAGUGCGCAUACAUGGUCCUCAUGCGCGCGGGUGGG
rnacentral:lncRNA from 1 species